rnacentral:rRNA from 1 species
AUACGGAGGGUGCGAGCGUUAAUCGGAAUUACUGGGCGUAAAGCGUGCGUAGGUGGUUCGAUAAGUCAGAUGUGAAAGCCCUGGGCUUAACCUGGGAACUGCAUUUGAUACUGUCGAACUAGAGUUUGGUAGAGGGAAGUGGAAUUCCGGGUGUAGCGGUGAAAUGCGUAGAGAUCCGGAGGAACAUCAGUGGCGAAGGCGGCUUCCUGGACCAAAACUGACACUGAGGUACGAAAGCGUGGGGAGCAAACAGGAUUAGAAACCCCGGUAGUCC